GAUGAACGCUGGCGGCGUGCCUAAUACAUGCAAGUCGAGCGAACAGACGAGGAGCUUGCUCCUCUGACGUUAGCGGCGGACGGGUGAGUAACACGUGGAUAACCUACCUAUAAGACUGGGAUAACUUCGGGAAACCGGAGCUAAUACCGGAUAAUAUAUUGAACCGCAUGGUUCAAUAGUGAAUGACGGUUUUGCUGUCACUUAUAGAUGUAUCCGCGCCGCAUUAGCUAGUUGGUAAGGUAACGGCUUACCAAGGCAACGAUGCGUAUCCGACCUGAGAGGGUGAUCGGACACACUGGAACGGAGACACGGUCCAGACGACUACGGGAGGCAGCAGUAGGGAAUAUUCCGCAAGGGGCGAAAGCAUGACGGAGCAAAGCCGCGUGAGUGAUGAAGGUCUUAGGAUCGUAAAACUCUGUGAUUAGGGAAGAACAAAUGUGUAAGUAACUAUGCACGUAUUGACGGUACCUAAUCAGAAAGCCACGGCUAACUACGUG
rnacentral:rRNA from 1 species